CUUUUAGCAAAUUCCUACACUCAAAAUAAUCUGGAGCACGAGAUCUCCAACCUGAAGGGCCAGAUCAAAACACUGCAAGGCUCAGUGGAGAAGUUGGAGGGAGAACUCCAUGAGACCCAGCAGAUAUGUGAAGAGAAACUGAAGAGUCAGGAGACUGAGCUGAUGGAGCUGGAGGACAGAAGAAGAGGAACGUGGAGGAGCUGCUCUUUCAGGUAGCCAGAGCAUUCAAGAAGGAAAGCAAGGUGAGUGAGAAAAGCCUCACAUUAAAAUGACCUUUCAAACAGAGUGAAAUGGACCAUUGCAGAUGUGAACAUUAAGCCCUACAUGGUGUGUUUUAGGAGCGGGAGCAAGAGCAUCAGAAUUACUGCGACCUUAUGGCCAGUUACAAAUACAUUAAGGUAAGCUUUUCUUCUCUUCAUUUUAAUGUCAUGUAAUGUUAAUUGUGUAGUUCCUGUUUGCUAAUGUUUGGCUCCAGUCCCUAUUCACGUACAAUAAAAGCAGUCUUUGGGAGCAGAAUCCACAAUUGUAAGUGUUUGUGGAGUUGCAGUGGGAAAUGAAAGGUAAGAACACAGAUAGUGUAAAAUCAUUCAAAUGUAAUAAAUGAUUGAACAGCAUUGAUGUGGUCACUCUGUGUGCAGUAAUAAUAUCAAGAAUUAAUUUUACAAAAUCUAUCAGAUAUUGUACAUUGAUUUUGUGAAUUAGGGAAUAGUCUUUACAAAUGUUUUAACAUAAACCUUUUAGCAGACAUGAAUGGAGUGAUGUGGUGGGACAUAUUAGAGGAGAUUUUAAUCUCAUUGGCCAAGAUACUGAAUCUGGGGAGAAUGUUUCAACAAGACAAUAACCCUCUAAAUACAGCCAAAAUAACUCAAGAAGGUUUAGCCAAUCUACUGAAUUGAAUCCCAUUGAAAAUGUAAAGAAUUGAAGAUGAAUUGCUGAGAGGAACUGGACAAAACUGAACCACAAUCCUGCAGAAAGAUGAUUAGUUCUUACUGUAUAUGUCUCAAAGCUGUAAUUGCUAAUGAUGGCUUUGCAAUAAAGUAUUAAUGUUGGUAAUUUGUAAUGUCUGAAAGCCAUUAUCAAUUUCAUUCCCUCAGGAAAGGCUGGAGCACGAGAACUCCAACCUGAAGGACCAGGUCAAAACACUGCAAUGCUCAGUGGAGAAGCUGGCGGGACAACUCCAUGAGACUCACCACAGGCAUGAACAGAAAUUGGAGGUCUCUCUGGCUGAAGCUCAGAAGAAUGCUGAGAACACUCAGGACUGCAGAACUCAGCUGGAGAAUGAGAUG